AUUGAACGCUGGCGGCAGGCCUAACACAUGCAAGUCGAGCGAGCGGCGGACGGGGGAGUAAUGCCUAGGAAUCUGCCAGGUAGUGGGGGAUAACGUCCGGAAACGGUAGCGAAUACCACAUACUAUCGGAUGUGCCCAGAUGGGAUUAGCUUGUAGGUGAGGUAACGGCUGACCUAGGCGACGAUCCCUAGCUGGGCUGAGAGGAUGACCAGCCACACUGGAACUGAGACACGGUCCAGACUCCUACGGUAGGCAGCAGUGGGGAAUAUUGCACAAUGGGCGCAAGCCUGAUGCAGCCAUGCCGCGUGUAUGAAGAAGGCCUUCGGGUUGUAAAGUACUUUCAGCGGGGAGGCGUUACCCGCAGAAGAAGCACCGGCUAACUCCGUGCCAGCAGCCGCGGUAAUUC
rnacentral:rRNA from 1 species